GUGCUGUGCUCUCUGCCCUCUUCGAGCUCACAGACUAGUGGCUGGGACUGAGGGUGGGUGCACUGAGCGGGGCGGGGGCGGGUAAGUGAAGGAGGCAUACACGUACAUCCUUGAUGGAUAAAACAGAAUAAAACAUGUUCUCGAGAGAGGCACAAGGAAAAGGCCAAGAGGGAAUAGGAGCAAUUAAUUCUCCAAAAGUUUCAAGAGAGCCUUCAUGGAUAUAGUGACAUUUGAACAAGACCUUGAAGAAGCAUUCAGGAGGAAGAAAAGUGAGCUCAACGUCAAGGAUGCUAUUUAGUGCCCUCUGGUUCUACAUUCAUUCUUACCAGCAGAUUGGUGAUUAAAGGGAACAUAUUAAUUAAGUCCAAGUUUCGUUUUUUUAAAAAGUUUGGUUUGUGGACCACCUGCAUCAGAAUCUCCUGGAGGUGCUCAUCCGAAAUAGCCUGAGUAAUCCCUACUAGAAGCACCAUGUCAGCAGUCAGAGAAUGGAGCAAUGAAUUCUACUCAGAAGGAAGUACAGUAAUGAGGCACAGGAAUAGCUGAAACAAACUCUUCCAGUUGCACAAUGAUGGCCAGCCCUGAGAAGGCCCAUUAAUGACCAGAGUACCAGAAGACAGCUUGGGCUCAGAUUACCCCACCCUACUAGAUUGUUAGUUCCUUGAAAAAUGUCACUAAGUUUUGUUCACAGUUGAAUAUUCAGGACCUACCACAGUGCCUAGAACAUAGAAAAUGUUCCUUUAAUGCAUGGUAAAUGAAUGAAUAGAUAAUAAUUGCCAAUAUUUGGUACUUACUAAGUGUGAGAAACAAUUCUAAAGGUUUUAUAUUUGUUAACUGAGUCAGACCUUGCAAAAUGCAUAUGAGGCAGAUACAGCUAUGAUCCUGUUUGUGAGAUCAGGAAGCUUACACAUAUAGUACAUGAUGGGAACAGGCCACCUUGUUCAAGAAUCCAUGCUCUUCACCACUACAAUGUUCUACCUCUUAAGGUAGAGGGUCUUCACUGAGAAAUCUAAGUUUCUAAACAGCUCUGGUGUUAAUUUGCAUAAUCUCUAUGGGGUUCAUUUCCCUUUACCAGAUUCCCCCACAUAUCCCUACAUACUAGUCCCUCUAACAACAUCCCUUUCACCUUUAAUAUUCCAUAUAUUCUACAUUUUAGUGUGUGCUAGAAAUACUGUAUCUCACGCUGGGGGAAUGAGGACAGGGGUUUCAAACUCAGAGGGCUCUGAGUUCUCUCAGAUAAAGGAGUUUUGAGAACCAUGGUCUAGUGACAAUGGCCUUUCCUGCCUAAGGGCAUUCAAAUUCAAAAUAUUUACAUUUCAGCAGUAGCCAAACAAAAUAUUUCAGACGGCUACGUCAGGGCCAGCAGUUUUCAGCUCCAGUGCUACGGUUGGAUGGAUGCUUGGUCUAAGAAUUCCACUGAGGAGGCCCAAGUGAUCUCAGAAGAAAUUCCUAAAAUAAAAAUGGGAACAGGACUACUGAAGACAAACCAAGUGGAGUGGUCCAAAUUAUCUGCAGUACAGAAUGAGGGCUCUCAGAGUUGACCUUGGUUAUUUAAUUUUACUCCAGCUUUUCAAACAAGUUAUACCCUAAAAACCUUGUAUUAAUCUUUAUCAAUGUGACUUCACCUUUUACACAAGUGAUGUAUUUAACAAAGAUUGUUGGCCUCUUUCUUUCUUUUUUGAAAAUGACAGAGUCUCACUUUGUCACCCAGGUUGGAGUGCAGUGGUGUGAUCUCAGCUCACUGCAACCUCCACCUCCCUGGUUCAGGUGAUUCUCCUGCCUCAGCCUCCUGAGUAGCUGGGAUUACAGGCACCUGCCACCACACCUGGCUAAUUUUUGUAUUUUUAGUAGAGAUGGGGUUUCACCAUGUUGGCCAGGCUGGUCUCGAACUCCUGACCUCAGGUGAUCCGCCUGCCUCGGCCUCCCCAAGUGCUGGUAUUACAGGCGUGAGCCACUGUGCCCAGCCUGGUCUCUUUCUUAGUUUUAAGAAAUGCAAAGGAUUUGAAGUUGAAAGUAAACUUUCCUAUUUUCAUCAUUUUGCAAUCUGUUAAAUAUUAAUAGAGUCAGAGCUUCUCCUUGACAAGGAUAACAUCUGUCAUUUCCUUGGGUCCUGUUGUUCCUUUGUAAGAGCUCCACAAGCAACCUCCAAAGGAAAAUUUCCUGAAUGUAAAACAAUGGGAGCUUACCACGGGGAGACAUAACACUUGCUGCAUUGAAAUUGAACAGCCCUGCAUGUGUCCAAAGGAAAUGGAUAAUGAGCAAUAAAGAAGAAGGGCAAGCACAAUAAUAACAGAAAAGAAGUUCACCGAAACUUGUAGUUCUAUGAAAACAGGCUUACCAAACAUCUGCAGUUGGAAAGUUAAAAAUAAAUCUGCGUUUUUUUUAAAAAAAAAUAUGUAUAUAUUUUUUAAAAAGUUGCCUCCAGUCAGC
rnacentral:lncRNA from 1 species